CCCGAGCAGCGCAGUAUUGCUCUCGUUGGUUAGCAAGUCGAAUAUCGUCAGUCGUGAUCGAAGCACUUCGGUACCUGGUGUAUAUCCUCCUUGUUUUACCCACGUUUAUCGGGUAACUCCCGGCAAUAUCAUCAGUAAGGAAUUACGAUCAUGGCAACUGGCACAGUCAAGUGGUUCAACGACACCAAAGGUUUCGGCUUCAUUUCUCCGGACGACAACGGUGACGACCUGUUCGCACACUUCUCCGAAAUCCAGGCUGAAGGCUUCAAGUCUCUGCAAGACGGUCAGAAGGUCUCCUUCGACGUCACCCAGGGCAAGAAAGGCCUCCAGGCCGCUAACAUCAAGCUGAUCGACUAAGCUUUGAUUUUAGCUGGAAGAGGCUAACCCCUCCUCCGACAGAAAAGCCCGCUUCGGCGGGCUUUUCUGC
rnacentral:sRNA from 1 species